rnacentral:rRNA from 1 species
CCCUUAGAUGUCCUGGGCCGCACGCGCGCUACACUGAUGCAUUCAACGAGUAUUUCCUUGGCCGAGAGGCCUGGGCAAUCUUUUAAACCUGCAUCGUGAUAGGGAUAGAUUAUUGCAAUUAUUAAUCUUGAACGAGGAAUUCCUAGUAAACGCAAAUCAUCAAUUUGCAUUGAUUACGUCCCUGCCCUUUGUACACACCGCCCGCCGCACCUACCGAUUGAAUGGUCCGGUGAAAUCUCGGGAUUGUGGCCAGUUCACUUUAUUGGGAGUUGGCUGCGAGAACUUGCUUAAACCUUAUCAUUUAGAGGAAGGUGAAGUCGUAACA